rnacentral:rRNA from 1 species
AUACGUAGGGGGCGAGCGUUGCUCGGAUUUACUGGGCGUAAAGGGGGCGUAGGCGGCCCUGCAAGUCGGCGGUGAAAUCCCUCGGCUCAACCGAGGAAUUGCCUCCGAAACUGCAGGGCUUGAGGGCAGGAGAGGGGGGCGGAAUUCCCGGUGUAGCGGUGAAAUGCGUAGAUCUCGGGAGGAACACCGGAGGCGAAGGCGGCUCCCUGGACUGUCCCUGACGCUGAGGCCCGAAAGCCAGGGGAGCAAACAGGAUUAGAAACCCUAGUAGUCC